rnacentral:rRNA from 1 species
GACGAACGCUGGCGGCGUGCCUAAUACAUGCAAGUAGAACGCACAGUUUAUACCGUAGCUUGCUACACCAUAGACUGUGAGUUGCGAACGGGUGAGUAACGCGUAGGUAACCUGCCUGGUAGCGGGGGAUAACUAUUGGAAACGAUAGCUAAUACCGCAUAAUAUUAAUUAUUGCAUGAUAAUUAAUUGAAAGGUGCAAUUGCACCACCACCAGAUGGACCUGCGUUGUAUUAGCUAGUAGGUGAGGUAACGGCUCACCUAGGCGACGAUACAUAGCCGACCUGAGAGGGUGAUCGGCCACACUGGGACUGAGACACGGCCCAGACUCCUACGGGAGGCAGCAGUAGGGAAUCUUCGGCAAUGGACGAAAGUCUGACCGAGCAACGCCGCGUGAGUGAAGAAGGUUUUCGGAUCGUAAAGCUCUGUUGUAAGAGAAGAACGGGUGUGAGAGUGGAAAGUUCACACUGUGACGGUAUCUUACCAGAAAGGGACGGCUAACUACGUG